CAGUCGCCGCGGUAAUACGAGGGGUGCAAGCGUUAUUCGGGUUGAUUGGGUGUAAAGGGUGUGCAGACGGCUUAUUAAGUCACUUGUUAAAUUCUUCGGCCUAACUGAAGGUCUGCAAGUGAUACUGAUGAGCUAGAGGGUGGAAGAGAGAAGUGGAAUUCUCGGAGUAGCGGUAAAAUGCGUAGAUCUCGAGAGGAACACCAAUGGCGAAGGCAGCUUCUUGGUCCAUUCCUGACGUUCAUACACGAAAGCGUGGGGAGCAAACAGGAUUAGAUACCCGCGUAGUCCCUGUCUCUUAUAC
rnacentral:rRNA from 1 species